rnacentral:rRNA from 1 species
GUCUGCAGCCAUGCUACCCUGAACAAGCCUGACACCAUCUGAUCUCGGAAGCUAAGCAGGGUUGGGCCUGCUUAGUACUUGGAUGAGAGACCACCUAGGAAGACCAGGUGGUGUAAGAG